CAGCUCUCCAAACUUCCCACUUAACAACUCCCAGGACCCUGCAGCACCCUAAAAUCUAGCCAGCUCCAAGAAUCACUCUCUACUCCAUACCCGGAUGAGCCUUGACUCACACUAAUUCCCUCCCUGAGGCUUAAGUCAGGGGGCAGCUGAUGGUUGUGGUCUGUGCUGCUUCCGCCUGGCCUAUUUUUCAUGCUGCCAUUUUGAAUUAGCAUAGGUUUCCUCCGCAACUGAUGCAUCUUCUAACCAGGCUGGGAACACAACACGCGCACACGCGCACACACACACGCACGCACCCACCCCACCCGGCUGCCGGACGCAAGCGUAAGUCAAGGACUUGCAUGCUAGAAUCAGACAGAAAAUCCAGAAAAGCCACGUUAUUUAACAGAACCCUACAAGGUCAGCUUUGAGUCAAAGCAGGUAACAGUUUCCUUCGAUGUUUUCAUGGACAUUUUUAUUCCCAAAUCCGAGUUCUCGCCAAUUCUCUAAAGUUCAAGCGCCCCUCCUGCUUUGCAGACCACAUUUCUCUCGGCCCUCGCGAGUGAGGUCGCCAAAUACUCGACGCCUCAAGAGCGAGCCGAGGAGGCAGAGGCCGACCAAGCCGGCCUCUCGGCAGCCCCGCCCGGCGCCCCGCGGAGAACGCCCGGGUGCGGCUCGAGGGAAGUUGUGUCAAGUCCCACGCGCGGCCCGCGGAGAACCCAGGGGCGGCCCGCGCGCGUCGGCCUAGCGGGGAGGGCUGCUCCGGGACACGGUGCGGCGGCCGCGGGCGAGUUGGACGCGCUGGCAGAGCCGGGCCGAAGGCGGCGGGCGUCUCCGGGCAGCCAUGUUCGCGGCGCCCGCCCGCGCAGCAGGACGGAGCCCUGACAGCAAUGUUUGCUACGGCCUCCCUCUGCAGUCAGCCUAAAGCAAGGAGCUGGAGGUAGAUGAGGCAAAGGUAAAGGAGACCAAAACAGUAUUUUAAAGAAAAAAUCAUUUAUCUUCAAAUAGGCUCCAAACCUAAGGUAAGAAUGUAUUGAUUUCAUUGUACUAAAGGGAAUACACAAACCUACUAAAAAGAAUGCUGGCCAGGCACGGUGGCUCAUGCCUGUAAUCCCAGCACUGUGGGAGGCCGAGGUGGGGAGAUCAUCUGAGUUCAGGAGUUCGAGACCAGCCUGACCAACAUGGUGAAACCCAAUCUCUACUAAAAAUACAAAAAUUAGCUGAGUGUGGUGGCAUGUGUCUGUAGUCCCAGUUACUCAGGAGGCUGAGGCGGGAAGAUCACUUGAACCUGG
rnacentral:lncRNA from 10 species